UACGUAGGGGGCAAGCGUUGUCCGGAAUCAUUGGGCGUAAAGAGCGUGUAGGCGGCUCGGUAAGUCCGCUGUGAAAGUCCAGGGCUCAACCCUGGAAUGCCGGUGGAAACUGUCGAGCUAGAGUCCGGAAGAGGCGAGUGGAAUUCCUGGUGUAGCGGUGAAAUGCGCAGAUAUCAAGGAGGAACACCAAUGGCGAAGGCAGCUCGCUGGGACGGUACUGACACUGAGGCGCGAAAGCGUGGGGGAGCGAACAGG
rnacentral:rRNA from 1 species